AUGAAAGCAUCGGAAAAGGAAACGGGGCUGAAAAGGCUCAGAUCCCGAGCGAGCGGGCCUUUGUCUUCCCAUUGUGCUAGCCCAGCUGAGCCUGUGUUGGAGCAGAGCCCUCCUGCAGCUGGGCCCAAAAACGGCAGCCAAAGAGAAACCCCGGCAACCACCCGUGGCAGAGAGAGGGAUGUGCGGCGGCUGCAGCGCUCGGCCGUGGUGGAGGAGAGGUUUAUUGGGCAGUUAUACAACACUUCAAGGUCUUUCAUCUUUUUCUGCCUGUCCAUUUACAUCAAGCCCAAGAGAGCAGACAAAACUGUCACUAUCCAGCAAGCUGUGCGAGGGAAGCCAGGAUGCAAUGACUUUAUUGAAGGAGGUUUCAGAAGGGAAGUCAAGGGGCUGUCCUGUGGAAACAUGGCAGGAGUAUCACCCUGAAGGCGUGGAAAAGAUCUCUGCCACCUAACCAGGCCCCGUCAUCAGAGACCUUUAGCUGUCUGUGCUGGACUCCUCUGCUCCUGUGACAAGGAACAAGGACAGGCAAGUCCUGUGAGGCUCUCCACAAGGUUUUGUUGGCACUAAUAGGACUGUGUGCU
rnacentral:lncRNA from 1 species